CUUGGUGGCGAGUGGCGGACGGGUGAGUAACGCGUAGGAAUCUACCCAAUAGCGGGGGAUAGCCCGGGGAAACUCGGAUUAAUACCGCAUACGCCCCAAGGGGGAAAGCAGGGGAUCUUCGGACCUUGCACUAUUGGAAGAGCCUGCGUUGGAUUAGCUAGUUGGUAGGGUAAAGGCCUACCAAGGCGACGAUCCAUAGCUGGUCUGAGAGGAUGAUCAGCCACACCGGAACUGAGACGCGGCCCAAACUCC
rnacentral:rRNA from 1 species